UAAUGUCUAUGCCUAUCACUGAAGUUACCCUCUCUACCCUCAGGUAACAUCACCACCCUCUGCUAUGUCCCAGAAUUCAUCCCCACCACUCGCAGCUCCAGCAGUAGAUGAGACCUCACAAGUGGUUUCAGAUCAGGUGGCAUCUACAUCCUCUGCCAUAUCCAUGAAUUCAUUCCCACCACUCUCAAUUGCUCCAGUACAAGAUGAGACCGCGCCUGUGGCUGAGAGUACCCAAGCUCAAAGUGUGAUUGCAAAUCAGGCUCUUCAAGAAUGGCAAGCAAUACGUGCCCAGCAAGACCAGGAGUAUAAUGAAAGUUUGUUGGUGGAUCAG